UAUACCAAUAAAACGCGAUCGAUU
rnacentral:siRNA from 1 species